GGGGAGAGCGGGCUAUCUGCAGUCGAGCGGACAGAAGGGAGCUUGCUCCCGGAUGUUAGCGGCGGACGGGUGAGUAACACGUGGGUAACCUGCCUGUAAGACUGGGAUAACUCCGGGAAACCGGAGCUAAUACCGGAUAGUUCCUUGAACCGCAUGGUUCAAGGAUGAAAGACGGUUUCGGCUGUCACUUACAGAUGGACCCGCGGCGCAUUAGCUAGUUGGUGAGGUAAUGGCUCACCAAGGCGACGAUGCGUAGCCGACCUGAGAGGGUGAUCGGCCACACUGGGACUGAGACACGGCCCAGACUCCUACGGGAGGCAGCAGUAGGGAAUCUUCCGCAAUGGACGAAAGUCUGACGGAGCAACGCCGCGUGAGUGAUGAAGGUUUUCGGAUCGUAAAGCUCUGUUGUUAGGGAAGAACAAGUGCGAGAGUAACUGCUCGCACCUUGACGGUACCUAACCAGAAAGCCACGGCUAACUACGUGCCAGCAGCCGCGGUAAUACGUAGGUGGCAAGCGUUGUCCGGAAUUAUUGGGCGUAAAGGGCUCGCAGGCGGUUUCUUAAGUCUGAUGUGAAAGCCCCCGGCUCAACCGGGGAGGGUCAUUGGAAACUGGGAAACUUGAGUGCAGAAGAGGAGAGUGGAAUUCCACGUGUAGCGGUGAAAUGCGUAGAGAUGUGGAGGAACACCAGUGGCGAAGGCGACUCUCUGGUCUGUAACUGACGCUGAGGAGCGAAAGCGUGNGGAGCGAACAGGAUUAGAUACCCUGGUAGUCCACGCCGUAACGAUGAGUGCUAAGUGUUAGGGGGUUUCCGCCCUUAGUGCUGCAGCUAACGCAUUAAGCACUCCGCCUG
rnacentral:rRNA from 1 species